AACGAACGCUGGCGGCAGGCCUAACACAUGCAAGUCGAGCGCCCCGCAAGGGGCGCGGCGGACGGGUGAGUAACGCGUGGGCAUAUGCCCUUUGCUACGGGAUAGUCUCGGGAAACUGGGGGUAAUACCGUAUACGCCCUUCGGGGGAAAGAUUUAUCGGCGAAGGAUGAGCCCGCGUUGGAUUAGGUAGUUGGUGGGGUAAUGGCCUACCAAGCCGACGAUCCAUAGCUGGUUUGAGAGGAUGAUCAGCCACACUGGGACUGAGACACGGCCCAGACUCCUACGGGAGGCAGCAGUGGGGAAUAUUAGACAAUGGGGGCAAGCCUGAUCUAGCCAUGCCGCGUGAGUGAAGAAGGUCUUAGGGUUGUAAAGCCCUUUCAGCUGGGAAGAUAAUGACGGUACCAGCAGAAGAAGCCCCGGCUAACUCCGUG
rnacentral:rRNA from 1 species